rnacentral:rRNA from 1 species
UCGAGUGGCGGACGGGUGAGUAACGCGUGAGUAACCUGCCCUAGAGUGGGGAAUAACAAUGAGAAAUCAUUGCUAAUACCGCAUAAGACCACAGUAUCGCAUGAUACAGAGGUAAAAGAUUUAUCGCUUAGGAUGGACUCGCGUCCCAUUAGCUAGUUGGUAGGGUAACGGCCUACCAAGGCCACGAUGGGUAGCCGAGCUGAGAGGCUGAUCGGCCACACUGGGACUGAGACACGGCCCAG